AUUGAACGCUGGCGGCAGGCUUAACACAUGCAAGUCGAGCGAGCGGCGGACGGGUGAGUAAUGUAUGGGACAGUGCGUGGUGGAUGGGGAUAACUACUGGAAACGGUAGCUGAUACCGCAUACCAUCAGAUGGGCCCGGAUGGGAUUAGCUAGGGGGUGGGGUAAUGGCUGACCUAGGCGACGAUCCCUAGCUGGUCUGAGAGGAUGACCAGCCACACUGGAACUGAGACACGGUCCAGACUCCUACGGGAGGCAGCAGUGGGGAAUAUUGCACAAUGGGCGAAAGCCUGAUGCAGCCAUGCCGCGUGUGUGAAGAAGGCCUUCGGGUUGUAAAGCACUUUCAGUGAGGAGGCGUUACUAGCAGAAGAAGCACCGGCUAACUCCGUGCCAGCAGCCGCGGUAAUAC
rnacentral:rRNA from 1 species